GACGAACGCUGGCGGCGUGCCUAAUACAUGCAAGUUGAGCGCUGAAGGUUGGUACUUGUACCGACUGGAUGAGCAGCGAACGGGUGAGUAACGCGUGGGGAAUCUGCCUUUGAGCGGGGGACAACACUUGGAAACGAAUGCUAAUACCGCAUAAAAACUUUAAACACAAGUUUUAAGUUUGAAAGAUGCAAUUGCAUCACUCAAAGAUGAUCCCGCGUUGUAUUAGCUAGUUGGUGAGGUAAAGGCUCACCAAGGCGAUGAUACAUAGCCGACCUGAGAGGGUGAUCGGCCACAUUGGGACUGAGACACGGCCCAAACUCCUACGGGAGGCAGCAGUAGGGAAUCUUCGGCAAUGGACGAAAGUCUGACCGAGCAACGCCGCGUGAGUGAAGAAGGGUUUCGGACCGUAAAACUCUGUUGGUAGAGAAGAACGUUGGUGAGAGUGGAAAGCUCAUCAAGUGACGGUAACUACCCAGAAAGGGACGGCUAACUACGUG
rnacentral:rRNA from 1 species